rnacentral:tRNA from 1 species
AGCCGGAUGGUGUAGAGGUAGCACGACUGACUCUGGAUCAGUUCGCCAGGGUUCGAAUCCUUGUCCGGCUGCCA